rnacentral:hammerhead_ribozyme from 1 species
ACCCGGCUGACGAGUCUCAGACAAGACGAAACGCGCGUCUUCGAU